AAUUGGAGGGCAAGUCUGGUGCCAGCAGCCGCGGUAAUUCCAGCUCCAAUAGCGUAUAUUAAAGUUGUUGCAGUUAAAAAGCUCGUAGUUGAAUUUCGGGGUCAGUAGGUUGGUCGUGCCACAGGUAUGAACUGGUCUCACUGAUUCCUCCUUCCUGAUGAACCGUAAUGCCAUUAAUUUGGUGUUGCGGGGAGACUGGACUGUUACUUUGAAAAAAUUAGAGUGUUUAAAGCAGGCUAACGCUUGAAUACAUUAGCAUGGAAUAAUGAAAUAGGACGUUCGAUCCUAUUUUGUUGGUUUCUAGGAUUGACGUAAUGAUUAAUAGGGAUAGUUGGGGGCAUUAGUAUUCAAUUGUCAGAGGUGAAAUUCUUGGAUUUAUUGAAGACUAACUACUGCGAAAGCAUUUGCCAAGGAUGUUUUCAUUAAUCAAGAACGAAAGUUAGGGGAUCGAAGACGAUCAGAUACCGUCGUAGUCUUAACCAUAAACUAUGCCGACUAGGGAUCGGAUGAUGUUAAUUUUUUAAUGACUCAUUCGGCGCCUUACGGGAAACCAAAGUGU
rnacentral:rRNA from 1 species